rnacentral:rRNA from 1 species
GAUGAACGCUGGCGGCGUGCCUAAUACAUGCAAGUCGAGCGAACGGACGAGAAGCUUGCUUCUCUGAUGUUAGCGGCGGACGGGUGAGUAACACGUGGUUAACCUACCUAUAAGACUGUGAUAACUUCGUGAAACCGGAGCUAAUACCGGUUAAUCUUUUGUACCGCAUGGUUCAAAAGUGUAAGACGGUCUUUCUGUCACUUAUAGAUGGAUCCGCGAUGCAUUAGCUAGUUGGUAAGGUAACGGCUUACCAAGGCAACGAUGCAUAGCCGACCUGAGAGGGUGAGCGGCCACACUGGAACGGAGACACGGUCAAGACUCCUACGGGAGGAAGCAGUAGGGAAUAUGCCGCAAUGGGCGAAAGCAUGACGGAGAAAAGCCGCGUGAGUGAUGAAGGGCGUCGGAUCGUAAAACUCUGUUAUUAGGGAAGAACAUAUGUGUAAGUAACUGUGCACAUCUUGACGGUACCUAAUCAGAAAGCCACGGCUAACUACGUG